ensembl:lncRNA
CCAUUUCCCCUCUACUCUUCUGAUGGGAUAACUGAAGAAUGUGUUCAGCUCUAGCUCCUAGAGUUCCUCAGUAACUUAGUUCCAGUGGCUCAUAGAGCUGCGGAGUCCUUCCAGCUGGAAGAUGGGCAAAACCCAGGGGAAGAACACCACAAAAUGAAUACUUUCCCUUCCUUGCCCCCUGUGUGGUGGAGCUAGCUUUCAGGCCAACAUCAGAGGACCCCUGCUGAGCCUCAGUCUUAUCAUGAUAAAAACAGCAGGCAAAUUAUAAUAACGGAACAUCCUACAAAAUAUCAGCUCAGUUCUCCUCAGAACUGUGGUGAUCAUCAACCAAGUUUGAGAGACAGACAUCAGCAAGAGAAGCCUGAAGAGACAACUACUAAAAAGAAUGUGGAAUCCAAAAACAGAAAAAGGAC